AUCCUUUCGAGAAAGAGAGAAAAGCUUCACUUGAAUAAUUUGCAAGAUCAAAGGUAUAAAUUAAGGGUGGAAAUAUCGCACAUAUUUUAAAAAUCGUUUCCUAACAUUGAAAACAAACUUGUCCAGGUUAUUCUCUAAGGCACACGUCAAAGAAAAGCCGGGACACUUUACAAUGAAAAAAACAGGAUAUAGAUAAACAAUGGUCUAAUUUCCGCCCACUGGAGUAAUUCUCCCAGAUGGAAUCGACGUAUUCAGUGGAGAACACUAGAAAAGACAACCACGGAAAUUUGCAUCACUCAGAAAGUUAGAGAAGGCGCCGAGCAACACAGAUUACCAAUGAAUCAAUCGACGGUUCUAGUUGGCCUGCUUGUGCUAUUUGCCGCGAUUUGUGGAUCAAAAGCUUUUACGGCAGGCAUCGGAAAUAUGGGAAUGAAAGGAAAGCGAGAUCUUGCUGUGAAGACUCGAAGAGAACUUCAACUGUUGUGCCAUUACGUACGAGGUACUUUGACUUCUAAAAGGUCUGGAGAGAGAACACAUCAGACGCCAUUUUACGUGCGGGAGAUUUGUGGGCUAUGACGUGAAAAGCAAUUGUUACGGCAGUGGGAGACCGGACAAUUUGGGCCAAUAUGAAUCGAAAUGUUUUGUCAGCUACCUUGUGUAAAAUAAUUACAAUAAAAAUCCGCUAACUUA